rnacentral:rRNA from 1 species
CCUACGGGAGGCCGCAGUGAGGAAUAUUGGUCAAUGGACGCAAGUCUGAACCAGCCAUGCCGCGUGCAGGAAGACGGCUCUAUGAGUUGUAAACUGCUUUUGUACGGGGGUAAACGCAGAUACGCGUAUCUGUCUGAAAGUAUCGUACGAAUAAGGAUCGGCUAACUCCGUGCCAGCAGCCGCGGGAAUACGGAGGAUUCAAGCGUUAUCCGGAUUUAUUGGGUUUAAAGGGUGCGUAGGCGGUCGGAUAAGUUAGAUGUGAAAUCCCGAGGCUCAACUUCGGAAUUGCCUCUGAUACUGUACGGCUAGAGAGUAGUUGCGGUAGGCGGAAUGUAUGGUGUAGCGGUGAAAUGCUUAGAGAUCAUACAGAACACCGAUUGCGAAGGCAGCUUACCAAGCUACUUCUGACGUUGAGGCACGAAAGCGUGGGGAGCAAACAGGAUUAGAUACCCGGGUAGUC